UGAAUCCGCGCGGGAGAGUCCCCAGGCCGCUGGGGCGCCGAAGGAGCAAGUCCCUCCCUUGAAUCUCUCAGGCCCCGUUACCGCGCGGGCGAG
rnacentral:ncRNA from 1 species